UACAGAGGGUGCAAGCGUUAAUCGGAAUUACUGGGCGUAAAGCGCGCGUAGGCGGCUGAUUAAGUCGGAUGUGAAAUCCCCGGGCUCAACCUGGGAACUGCAUUCGAUACUGAUCGGCUAGAGUAUGAGAGAGGGAGGUAGAAUUCCACGUGUAGCGGUGAAAUGCGUAGAUAUGUGGAGGAAUACCGGUGGCGAAGGCGGCCUUCUGGCUUAAUACUGACGCUGAGGUGCGAAAGCGUGGGGAGCAAACAGG
rnacentral:rRNA from 1 species